GGGGCUGUGGCUCAGAGGUAGAGUGCUCACCUACCAUGCGUGAGGCACAAUGUUUGAUCCCCAGCACCA
rnacentral:tRNA from 1 species